rnacentral:rRNA from 1 species
UACGAAGGGGGCAAGCGUUGUUCGGAUUUACUGGGCGUAAAGGGCGCGCAGGCGGCUCUUCAAGUCAGAUGUGAAAGCCCCGGGCUCAACCUGGGAACUGCAUUUGAGACUGAAGAACUCGAGUUCGGGAGAGGAUGGCGGAAUUCCCAGUGUAGAGGUGAAAUUCGUAGAUAUUGGGAAGAACACCGGUGGCGAAGGCGGCCAUCUGGACCGAGACUGACGCUGAGGCGCGAAAAGCGUGGGGGAGCAAACAGGG